rnacentral:rRNA from 1 species
UACGGAAGGGGGCUAGCGUUGCUCGGAAUCACUGGGCGUAAAGCGCACGUAGGCGGAUUGCUAAGUCAGGGGUGAAAUCCUGGAGCUCAACUCCAGAACUGCCUUUGAUACUGGCGAUCUUGAGUCCGGGAGAGGUGAGUGGAACUGCGAGUGUAGAGGUGAAAUUCGAUAGAUAUUGGGUGGAACACCGGUGGCGAAAGCGGCUCUCUGGUCCGGACCUGACGCGUGAGGCGGCGAAAGCGUGGGGAGCAAACAGG